rnacentral:rRNA from 1 species
CGGCCGCGUCGACAUGAAGGUCUUCGGAUCGUAAAGUUCUGUUAUGAGGGAAGAACACGUGCCGUUCGAAUAGGGCGGCACCUUGACGGUACCUCAUCAGAAAGCCCCGGCUAACUACGUGCCAGCAGCCGCGGUAAUACGUAGGGGCAAGCGUUGUCCGGAAUUAUUGGGCGUAAAGCGCGCGCAGGCGGUCUCUUAAGUCUGAUGUGAAAGCCCACGGCUCAACCGUGGAGGGCCAUUGGAAACUGGGGGACUUGAGUGUAGGAGAGGAAAGUGGAGUUCCACGUGUAGCGGUGAAAUGCGUAGAUAUGUGGAGGAACACCAGUGGCGAAGGCGACUUUCUGGCCUAUAACUGACGCUGAGGCGCGAAAGCGUGGGGAGCAAACAGGAUUAGAUACCCUGGUAGUCCACGCUGUAAACGAUGAGUGCUAGGUGUUAGGGGUUUCGAUACCCUUAGUGCCGAAGUUAACACAUUAAGCACUCCGCCUGGGGAGUACGACCGCAAGGUUGAAACUCAAAGGAAUUGACGGGGGCCCG